rnacentral:rRNA from 1 species
AAACCGUUUAGGGGUAAACCUGAGAAACCCGAAAGGUCGAAGGGAGAAAUUCAUUCGCGUUUCGCCGUCGGCGUGAGAUGGUCGUGUGACGGAAUACGUUCGCGUUUUCCGCGCCUUCCGUUUUUCGAUCCGAUAGCGAACGCGUGCACUUUUCUCCUGGUAGGACGUCGCGAUCCGUUGGGUGUCGGUCUACGGCUCGCGGUGGAGCCCGGACGUACGGCUUGCCGUUACGUUCGGACCCGCGUGUCCCGACUGACUCGCUCGACGGUAUACGAAAGGUUUAAGGCCGCUCUUCUAGGAGCGUUCGGCUCGUAGCAAGCGCGUCAAAUGUGUCGGCCAUCGGACCCGGUGCCGGUUCUGACCUUUGGCGACUGUUGGCUGCGAAGUUCUCGAACAGACCUUCGACCGAUCUGCGACGCUAUAGCUUUGGGUACUUUCAGGACCCGUCUUGAAACACGGACCAAGGAGUCUAGCAUGUGCGCGAGUCAUUGGGAAUCACUAAACCUAAAGGCGCAAUGAAAGUAAAGGUCCGCCUCGCGCGGACCGAGGGAGGACGGGCGGUUUACCCUUAAAAGUGGCCGCUCCGCACUCCCGGGGCGUCUCGUUCUCAUCGCGAGAAGAGGCGCACCAAGAGCGUACACGCUGGGACCCGAAAGAUGGUGAACUAUGCCUGGUCAGGACGAAGUCAGGGGAAACCCUGAUGGAGGUCCGUAGCGAUUCUGACGUGCAAAUCGAUCGUCGGAACUGGGUAUAGGGGCGAAAGACUAAUCGAACCAUCUAGUA